GCCUAAUACAUGCAAGUCGAACGAGAACCCUUGGAUCGUCUGGGGGGGAGAGUGGCGAACUGGUGAGUAACACGUGGGUGACCUGCCCCGAAGACGGGGAUAACCGUUGGAAACGACGGCUAAUACCCGAUAUACUCGGUGAUUCGGUUCAUCGAGUAAAGGCUCCGGUGCUUCGGGAUGGGCCUGCGGCCUAUCAGCUAGUUGGUGGGGUAAUGGCCCACCAAGGCGAAGACGGGUAGGGGGCGUGAGAGCGCGGNCCCCCACACUGGCACUGAGAUACGGGCCAGACUUCUACGGAAGGCAGCAGUCGGGGAUAUUGCACAAUCGGCGAAAGCCGGAUGCAGCGACGCCGCGUGGGCGAUGAAGGCCUUCGGGUUGUAAAGCCCUUUUAUGGGGGAAGAGACAAGGACGGUACCCCAAGAAUAAGCGUCGGCUAACUACGUGCCAGCAGCCGCGGUAAAACGUAGGACGCAAGCGUUAUCCGGAUUUACUGGGCGUAAAGAGCGUUGAGGCGGUUCCGUAAGUUGGGCGUGAAAGCCCCGGGCUUAACCCGGGGAGGUCGUUCAAUACUGCGGGACUUGAGGGCAGCAGAGGGAGGCGGAAUUCCCGGUGUAGCGGUGAAAUGCGUAGAUAUCGGGAGGAACACCAGUGGCGAAGGCGGCCUCCUGGGCUGUUUCUGACGCUGAAGGCGAAAGCUAGGGGAGCGAACGGGAUUAGAAACCCCGGUAGUCCUAGCCGUAAACGAUGGAUGCUGGGUGUGGGGGGUAUAGAUCCCCUCCGUGCCGAAGCUAACGCGUUAAGCAUCCCGCCUGGGGAUUACGGCCGCAAGGCUUAAACUCAAACGAAUUGACGGGGGCCCGCACAAGCAGCGGAGCGUGUGAUUUAAUUCGAUGCUACACGAAGAACCUUACCUGGGCUUGACAUGUAGGUAGUAGUGAAGCGAAAGCGGAACGACCCUUCGGGGAGCAUACACAGGUGCUGCAUGGCUGUCGUCAGUUCGUGCCGUGAGGUGUCGGGUUAAGUCCCGUAACGAACGCAACCCUUGCCCUUAGUUACAUGUGUCUAAGGGGACUGCCCGGGACAACUGGGAGGAAGGUGGGGAUGACAGUCAAGUCAGCAUGGCCU
rnacentral:rRNA from 1 species